rnacentral:rRNA from 1 species
GACGAACCGAGCGAACGUUAUUCGGAAUCACUGGGCUUAAAGGGCGCGUAGGCGGGCGGUCAAGUCAGAGGUGAAAGCCCCCAGCUCAACUGGGGAAGUGCCUUUGAUACUGGUCGUCUCGAGGGAGAUAGGGGCGUGCGGAACUUCCGGUGGAGCGGUGAAAUGCGUAGAUAUCGGAAGGAACGCCGGUGGCGAAAGCGGCGCGCUGGAUCUCUUCUGACGCUGAGGCGCGAAAGCCAGGGGAGCGAACGGG